CGCAGCCGCGGUAAUUCCAGCUCCAAUAGCGUAUAUUAAAGUUGUUGCAGUUAAAAAGCUCGUAGUUGAACCUUAGGCCCGUGCGGGUGGUCCGUCCUCUGGGCGAGCACUGCGUCGUCGCGGGUCUCACCUUCUGGCGAGCGUGGAUGCCAUUCACUUGGUGUCCGCGGGAACCAGGACCUUUACCUUGAAAAAAUUAGAGUGCUCAAAGCGGGCUCGUACGCUUGAAUACAUUAGCAUGGAAUAAUGAAAUAGGACGACGGUUCUAUUUUGUUGGUUUCCGGGACAGUCGUAAUGAUUAAUAGGGAUAGUUGGGGGCAUUCGUAUUCAAUUGUCAGAGGUGAAAUUCUUGGAUUUAUUGAAGACGAACUACUGCGAAAGCAUUUGCCAAGGAUGUUUUCAUUAAUCAAGAACGAAAGUUGGGGGAUCGAAGACGAUCAGAUACCGUCGUAGUCUCAACCAUAAACUAUGCCGACUGGGAAUCGGGCGAUGUUAUUUUUUUGUGACUCGCUCGGCGCCCCGAG
rnacentral:misc_RNA from 1 species